UACGUAGGGGGCAAGCGUUAUCCGGAAUUAUUGGGCGUAAAGAGUACGUAGGUGGCAACCUAAGCGCAGGGUUUAAGGCAAUGGCUCAACCAUUGUUCGCCCUGCGAACUGGGAUGCCUGAGUGCAGGAGAGGAAAGCGGAAUUCCUAGUGUAGCGGUGAAAUGCGUAGAUAUUAGGAGGAACACCAGUGGCGAAGGCGGCUUUCUGGACUGUAACUGACACUGAGGUACGAAAGCGUGGGGAGCAAACAGG
rnacentral:rRNA from 1 species